rnacentral:rRNA from 1 species
UACAGAGGGGGCAAGCGUUAUUCGGAAUUAUUGGGCGUAAAGAGCUCGUAGGCGGCUUGUUGCGUCGACCGUGAAAACCCACAGCUCAACUGUGGGCUUGCGGUCGAUACGGGCAGGCUAGAGUUCGGUAGGGGAGACUGGAAUUCCUGGUGUAGCGGUGAAAUGCGCAGAUAUCAGGAGGAACACCGGUGGCGAAGGCGGGUCUCUGGGCCGGUACUGACGCUAAGGCGCGAAAGCGUGGGGAGCGAACAGG